UACGAAGGGGGCUAGCGUUGCUCGGAAUUACUGGGCGUAAAGGGCGCGUAGGCGGCACUGUUAGUCAGGCGUGAAAGUCCUGGGCUCAACCUGGGAACUGCGCUUGAUACGGCAGAGCUAGAGGAUGGAAGAGGCUCGCGGAAUUCCCAGUGUAGAGGUGAAAUUCGUAGAUAUUGGGAAGAACACCGGUGGCGAAGGCGGCGAGCUGGUCCAUUACUGACGCUGAGGCGCGACAGCGUGGGGAGCAACAGGAUGAG
rnacentral:rRNA from 1 species